rfam:Lichtheimia corymbifera JMRC:FST:9682, FST 9682, WGS project CBTN01000000 data, contig: SCAF00064
GCCGACUUAGCACAGUUGGCAGUGCGCUGCUCUCGUAAAGCAGAGGUCGUGUGUUCGAUUCACACAGUCGGCA